CAGAGGCUACGGCUAGAACUACAAUGCCCAGGAUGCUCCGGUCGGAGUGCCCAGAGAGAGACCGGACCGGCCGCCAUGUUGAAGCUCAGGAGCCGCUGCGGGCCGAGGCUUCGGCGCUCGUGGAGCUGAGAAGUGGCGUGGUGAGAAUGGUGAGGCAGAGGAUGUAGGGGUUGAUAACCUCGAGCACUGGCUGGGACUGGACGGAGACUACACUGGGGGUGGGCAGGGCCGUGGGACCGGCGAUGGCCUCGCGAGUCGGCGUGAGCUUCAACCCGCCGGGCUUGCACAGGGCCUCACGCCUUUCCCUCGGCUUUUUAGCGGGGGACCCAGGAAGUCGCUUCACUUCUGGGCGCGAAGGAAACCUUAGAUUGUUCCUAGCGGGACAUUCUGGGCAGGAGGUGUCUUUGUUGUGUUCUGGGGGCCGGGGACGGCGGGCCUCGCGCCAGGUUGGACAAGAAGCCCGCUUGCACCCGAUGAGUGGGGCUAAACCUAGGUUAAUUUUUUUGUCGUGUUGCCAUUUUUUUCUCUAACCCUCAUGCCCUCUUCCUCAAGUGUCUGACCCCCCCUCGCGCGCGCGCGCUCGUACUCUCUCCCCCUCCCUCCCUCUCUCCCCCUCCUUCCCUCCCCUCCUCCCCCUCUCUCUCCCCCCCUCCCCCCGUAAUGAUUUGCAAAGGGCCUCAAAGAAUAAUCAUUAGUAGAUAACUGAGCGCGAAGGGUUGUAUCUUUGGUCCCGAAAAUAAGAAAGACAAGGUGCUACCAAAAGUAGUUAGCACCUAAUCUUUCUUACCCACCAGUAAGUAAAAGACAUUGAAAAGGGACUGCAAGUGAGCAAUCUUACUCAGGACUCAUGCUGAAUGAACUAUGCUAAAAUACUUAGGAUACUCAAAGUUGGUAACCAUGCAUCACCAACUUACCUUUUCUUCCUUUGUUAGCAUAUAUUAACAAAAGUAUGCAAAACGAUUAUUCCGUUGUGACAUCUUAAUGCAGAUAACCUUAGUUAAUGCAUUAACCAACCCCUUCCGUUACCCACUUUGGUACCCAACCAAUUAAAGUGCAUUGUCUUCUUUGGCAUAUUUCAAAUGUAUGAUUACUUCAAGAACUUUUGAGUCCUUUUUUUUGAUCAUCUCAAAUUAUCUGUUUUCCUCAGUUGCAUAACUAAAGCAGUACUGUGUGUUUGUUUUUCAGAUUCUGAAGUUCACUAUGGAAAGAUGGGAAAUUUUACUUCCUACCUAGGGUCUUUGAAGAGUUAAAAAUGCUGAUAAGCAUAACUUGUGUUGUUUAUUCUCCUCUUUUGCAUUUAAAUCUGAAGACUGAGUUUUGUGCAGGAGAUGUAGCUCAGUGAUGAGGAGUCACCUAGCAUACUCAAGGCUCUGGUUGGAUCCCCAGCAUUGGUUUGUUUGCAUCAGUGAAAAUACACACUAUGCCUCUGUUAGAACUUAAUAAAAUUCAACUGAUAAAUAUAUCUUCCUUUCAAAAAAGUAAGCACAUUGGUUUUUAAAUUGCCAAAACACAGUAGGAACAGUCAAAGGUGUAUGCAGAUGAUGGCGGUUAAAAAAAGUUUUCCAAGAUUCAUCUUAUGUUGUGAGAAGAAGCCAGGAGAGUGGCAAAAGCCAUUCUUGCAUAAAUUCAACCAUGUAAAAGCCUCGGAAAUAUUGCUGUUCUUCUGCCUGGAAUGAUGGUAAGUACUACAAAGGAAACAAAGUGUUUACCAUUUCCUUUCUGCCCUUAGAUUUAACUGUAGGGUUUAGACUAAUGAAUCUUUAGUUUAUAAAACAUUUAUAUGAGCAAUAAUCUUAGUUUGAGUUACUGUGGAAGACUGAUUUAUUGAAAGAAAAAUAGCAGAUUGUUUGGAAAUAGUGUGAAAAAUGGGACCAAUAUAAUAUAAUGGAUUCUAUAAUUUGUCAUGUGAUUGAGUGCUUUGAAGUGUUUUAGCCUUAAAUAUAAUGGAUAUUCAGCCAUAAAUGUGUGGUAAAAAAUAAUCGGUGUAUUUUAGAAAGACUGUACAAGUUAAGUCUUUAAUAGGAAAAAAAAAAUUUCCAUGUUCUUUAGAAACAUAAGGCAAGAAAAGGAAAACAUUUUACCAGGGGAAAAAAAAUGUAUUUUCAGACCUUCUCUUUGAUUAAGGAAAAUGUUUGCCAUAGUGUACAUUUCCCUAAGUGGACACAGAUGGACACACCAUUUGGAUUUAGCUACUGUGGGUUUGUUUUUUUGUUUGUUUGUUUGUUUGUAACAAUCUUUUAAUUCAUUUCAGAUAAUAAAACUUAUUUCUCAUAUUUUAGACAUUCUUACUUUGAAUUGACAAUAGUUAGAAAACGAAAGUCUCACGUUAGUACCAUAGGUGUGGUAUUUGUAACAGUUUGACAUAGAUUUUGCUUCUGGAUUUACUAUCUGGCUUAAGGUAAAUGCAGCAAAUGUCUCAGGGUCAAAUUUAAAGUCAAGCUAGGCAGUAGUGGUGCACACCUUAAUCCCACUACAGGAGCGACAGAGGCAGGUGGAUCUCUGAGCUCAAGGCCAGCCUGGUCUACAGAAUAAAUUCCAGGAUGGCCAGGGCUACACAGAGAAACUUUGCCUCUAAACUUAAAUAAAUACAAGUCUAAAUGACUUCAAAUUAUUUUACCUAGAAAAGCAUCUACCAUCUUUUUUCUAUCUUACCAUCUCAUUUCUCAGAUUUUAACAGGUUUGGACAAUUAAAGGGACAUGUAGAACAUGUCUUUGCAAGAAGAUAAAUGCUGAUAAACUGUGUGUUGGUGAACAUAACCAUUUCAGGAAAUUUAGAGAUUUAACUGGAAGGAUAAAUACAAAUGAAAAAAACAAAAACCACUAAGAGUUACAUAUAAUGAAAUACUUAAAAGCAUCAGAGAUCCAAUACAGGUGUCUGGAAAAUGUGGGCGUGGCUGUAUCUAGUGGACCUGGUACAUGCAUACUACAAGCUUGCCAAAAAACACACGGAAAAAGAAGAGCAAUUUUAAGAGAAUAUUCAAUUCAAGGAGCAUCAUGGAGACAAUGCAUGGCAAUACUCUGCUCAGUAAAUAAGCUCGGAGUUGUUUCUAAUGUAAGAAUAUCUUAGUAUCCUAAGGUUACAUUCUCAACAGAAAACAAAUACUGACAUAUAUUUAGCUAUCAUUUUUCAGUACUUGAAGUGUAAGCUCAAAUCCAGGCCAUCAGGUAACUGAGCAGGUAAACCUGAGUUUGAACCCCAGAACCCACUGUACAAGGACCUCAUGAAAGUUGUCCUCUGACCUUGUGUCUGCCAACCUGAAUUCGCGCACAUAUAUAUUAUACACUAACAAUUAAAGAGACAAGUCUGCUUGGCAGUAUCUGUUAACAAGGAGAGGAGGUGAGAAUACAACUGAUUGGUUCAACCUGAAGUCCACUGCAUAGGAAUGGCUACUCAAUCAGGAGGCCGCAAAAAGAAAAUUGCAUUCUUAAGUAUUACCACUCUGCAUAUAACCCAAAGAGGUGCAGCAACAAUUGUCAAACAGACCUGGUGACAAAAGGCAUACCAUCUGCAUGGUUUCAUAAACAGCAGGACUUGGGAAGUUGGGGGUUUAGAGCUAACUUAUAGAUAACAAGUCGGUGUCUCCGAAAAUAAAUCCUGGUUGCUGCAAUUAAAGUGUAAUCAUCCUUCAACUCUACUCCAAGAAAAAUAGUUCCGAAAUUUUUGGAGCUUGUGCUUAUACCUCACAAUCCAACAGUUCUUAAUCCCUCCACACACAAACAUGUUUUCAUAUGCUUGUCCUGAAGGAAAAGCAGUUUAGGCAGAAACAUUCUUUGGACAAAGAAAAUAAUAAAGGUGAAGAAUGAUUCCCAAGCCCCUCUGAUCCACAAAGGUAGCCUUAGACCAGUGUCUAAUUAUCGAUUGAAGAAGAAACAAUUUCAUUUAACAAUUAAAAAUAAGUACCAAGCUAGGCAAUGGUCAUGCACGCCUUUAAUCCCAGCACUUGGGAGGCAGAGGCAAGCAGAUCUCAGUAAGCUUGAGACCAGCCUGGUCUACAGAGCUAGUUCCAGGACAGCCAGGGCUGUUACACAGAGAAAUGCUGUCUCAAAAACAAAAAAGUGAGUACCUGACAGUAAAGCCUGACCCUGUCAGUACUGAUACAACUUACUGUGAGUGGUCCUUAGUAACAGAAACAGUUAUCUCUAUAAUGCCCAAUGCUGAGGUCAGUGGGCACAUUAUAGUGCACACAUGGACACUGUUACUCUAAACUUCAGGAACUUGGGCUGGAGAGAUGGCUCAAAGGUUAAGAGCACUGGCUGCUCGAGUUCAAUUCCCGACAACCACAUGGUGGCUCACUCCAAGAACUUGAAUGCUGCAUUGUUACUGAUCCUAAGCACAUACAAGAAAGGACUUGUGACCGAUUAUUUCCCUUUCAGAACAGUUGUCUGCUUGGGUCAUAUGGUACAGUAAAUACAUUGGAUAUGUCACAAUCUCAAAAUAACUAGACUGAGACACAGUUUUACAUUGUAGCCAAGGUUGGCCUCAAACUUGGCAAUCCAAUCUCUUUGCCCCCUGAAUUCUAGUAAUUUUUUUUUAAAAUGAGAGUUUACUUUUUAUGUGUAUGGAGGCUGGAGAAUAAGUGUAUAUAAGUGCUGAUGUUGGAGGAGGCCAAAGCUCUCCCUGGAAAUUAAGGUACUAUGAGGUACCCAACUUGCAUGCUGGAACCCAAACUCCUGCCCACUGCUAGAGCAGCGUUCUUUGUUGUUUUGUUUUUUCGAGACAGGGUUUCUCUGUGUAGCUUUGGAGCCUGUCCUGGAACUCACUCUGUAGCCCAGGCUGGCCUCGAACUCACAGAGAUCCACCUGCCUCUGCCUCCCUAGUGCUGGGACUAAAGGCAUGCACCACCACUGCCCGGCUACCGUGUUCAUUCUUAACCACUGGGCCAUCUCUCCAGCUUCUAGAGAGCUACUUUUUUUUUUUUAACUUUAGUUCAUUCAUUGAGUCCAUGUGAUCCUACUUUCUUUUUUUUUUUUCCCCCUGAGCUUGCUCCCACCCAGUCUUUUGAGACAGGACUCAAAAGUUUUCCAGAUUACCCUAUAAUUUAGAAUCCUCUUGUUUCAGCCUUGUAGGAACUGGGAUUACAGGCUACCAUACCCUGUUCUAAAAAUAAUUAGGAGCCAGGUGUGGUGGUGGUGCAUCUGGGAGGCAGCAGUGGGUGGAUCUCUGAGUUCAAGGCCAGGUUGGUCUACAUAGAGAAUCCCAAGACAGCCAGAGCUAUGUAGACUUUUUUUUUAAAGAUAUCUAGGAAGAAAUGUAUGCUUUUAUCACUUGACCUGGAAAUUGUAGUCUACUAAUCUGAAACUAAUAGAGGUAAAAAAAAUUACCUUCAAAAUGUAUAGUACCAGCCGGGCGGGUGAUGGCACACACCUUUAAUCCAGAGCCAGGCGGAUCUCUGGUGUACAGAGCAAGAUCCAGGACAGGCACCAAAACUACACAGAGAAACCCUGUCUCGAAAAAGAAGUAUAAUACCCUCUCCAAAUUAAUUACAAUAGCAGAACGGUUCAAGUUUCUAGCCCCUCUUUCACUGCAGCAUGACUUGUUCACAUAUUAGCAAGCUGCAUUUAGCAGCUAGAUAGUGUUGGUAUUUGAAUAUGCUCUUUUCUUCUGUUUGGCAUGAACACAGCUGUGGUGUAGUUGUUUAAUUCAUAUGUUGUUAAAUUACAAAACUGAUAUGUUGCUUAGUUUUGUAAUAUUUGGCUUGUCACAUUUUAUAAUUUUUGUAAGAUUGUGUACUAGAGGUUUUUGAUUUCAUAAUGAAAUCCUUUGGUCUGGA